UCCUCCUUCUCAGUUCACCUCCCUUUAUAAUCUCUGCCCGUCUUCCUCGUUCACCCUCCUCCUCGUUCGAGGCUUAAGCAAUGACAACAACAAACCUUUGCAAAUUUUUUCUCUUCUGUAAUUGCGAAAUAUGGAAUUUCGAAGAGCACAACAGUUUGGGAGAAGUAUUAUGGUUGUCCGAAGUGGCCAGUGAUUUUUUUGCUCUUCAAUUUUACAUCUUGGCUCUUAAUUCUGUCCAAAAAUUCUAGUGAUACCGAAGUGGAAAGGAAGAAGGGACGUUCGAGUUUUGCUUUUUUUCAUGUAUUUUUUCUCUUCUGUAAUUUCUUGCCAUUAUUUCCCCUUCCUCUACAACCUUUGCAAAUUGCAAGGUUUUUGUUUAGUGUUUCUGUAAUGCACCAACAAUAUCAAGCAAUGCGGUUACAAGUUAUUAAUGGAUCAUGUUUUGGUUUUUUUGUUUCGAAAGAUGGUGUUGGUUAUGGUUUCAAUAAUAAGAUACUACAAGUUUCUAUCUGUUU